AUCAAAAGAAAAUACACUGAAAAAUAAAUCUCAUAAAAGGAAUUAUUAGUAAUACAUAUUAAUCUCAGAUACAAAUAACAAUGUGGAAAUGAUUACGCAAGGAAGCAUGUAAUCAACCUGAACCAAUUUGCAGGAUUAGAUCUAUUAGGUAAAGUAAGAAAAUAGAGACCUUCUAUUCCUAUUAGGUAAAGUAAGAAAAUAGAGACCUUCUAUUCGCUGCCAAGCAUGGCCAUAGAGCUUGAGAGCUUCUAGAAACCUAUUGUGCUCCUCUUCAGUCCAUCGCUCCCGCUGCUUAGUAAUCGUGUAAGGCUUCCUUGUCU
rnacentral:lncRNA from 1 species